rnacentral:lncRNA from 1 species
CCGCCUUGGAUGGACAGAGGGACGGAGCAGCGAGCAUCUGGCCAGUCGUGUCCCCAGCUCCCCUACAGCGGUCUCCAGCUGCUGUCUGCCCGCUGCCCGCCUGCCUGGCAUCUCUCUCCCGAGUGAAGAGGCCCUAAGUCCAGAGCAGGGUCUGUGGGACAGGCCUAGGAGGUGUAUGUGCAUACCACAAGGAGUUGUGCUUCACAGGGAGUGACCAACCCAAGCUUACGCCUGCCCACCCCAGGAUGGAAGCCUGGCUUCCUGGAGAGGCCAGGCCUGUAAGAGCUCUUGACAGUGAAUCAGGAUAAAUCACAGAAACUCGUGUCUCAUAUCCUGGGGAAGGAGAGGCCACAGUGCUUCCCAUAUGGCAGGCCAGGGACUGGAGCUUAUUAUCUUACCGGACAAUCUAUAAGGUGCUAGCUGCAUUCCUGGCCUGGGAGAAGGGAGCCUGUCCGACCCCCCAUGUCAUGCUGGAUGGCUUUGCAGAGGUGCCUCACCUGAUCCUGGAUGGAUGUCAUCACCCUACAGUGUGGGUAUCAAGGGCGGGGAAGAAGGGGGCUGGGAAGCUCCAGAGGGAUUGGGUGGUCUCCAGUCACUCCCCUCCGUGUGAACCCAGCUGCUCUUCCACUCUGGAGCUGGAAAGCUGUCAGCUGCCAUGCCAUGGUGCCAAGCACAUAGUAGGACUUCAAGCAUGUUUGCCCUGUACUUGUCUGCCCUUGGCUGACUUCAAAGCCCUGUCCCCUGACUACCCACACGGCCACCUUACUCAACAGAAAUAUUCCUGUGAUAGAGACAGAAGGGCCC